ACACAACCAGACCAGAAUCCCUCAAACAAAUGCCGCUGUACAUCAUCAUCAUCAUCUCAUGUUCUGGAGUCAUAUUCAUCUGUCUGAUCAUCACCAUCAGCAUCUGCAUUCACAGGAGCUGUAAAAACAACAAGCAGAGUCACAGAGAAAUGGGACAGGACUUUUCACAGGCACCAGCCCGGGGAAGGAUACAGACUCAAAACAGUCAGUACUUUGAAAAAUACAACUCAGUGUAUGGACAAGUGUGAAUAUAAUUUUUUUUUUUGAAAAAGUCUAUCUACCUUUGAUACCUUUUGUUAUGUGAAUACUCAUCUGAGUAAUAUAAAGUCAAACUGAAAGUUUGUCAAAGUCAGUGUCACAACAUAUAAUUGUACAAAAUGAUUUAAAAUGUGAUAAAUGCAUCAGUGAAUGAAGAAGCUCUAAUGUAAAUAUUUGUAUUUUGUGUCAGCUCUUACAUUAUAAUCAUACAUUUCUAAUCAUACAUCAUCUUAUUAGUUUUUAACAGAAGCAGCUUUUGUUUAUUUUGUUAAUAACAAUGACCCGUAUAGUGAAAAACAUGAGAACCAUAUUUCAUGUUAAACAGGUUGUUUUUGAAAAUCUGUGAAUGAA